GCCUCCCUCCGCCGCCACUCAGACUCCGUACGGGACGGCGAGCAGGUGGGUAAGUUUGUGUCAUGGCGAAGCUGACACAGCGACACCGCGUGAGCGAAGAAGCCUUGGGUGUAAAGGCUCUGUCAGCUGGAACGAAAAAAUAGAACGGUACCAGCAGAGGAAGCAUCGGCUAACUACGUGCCAGCAGCCGCGGUAAUAC
rnacentral:rRNA from 1 species